UAGCUCAGUGGGUAAAGAAUCUGCCUGCAAUGCAGGAGACCUGGGUUCGAUUCCUGG
rfam:Ovis aries breed Texel chromosome 2, whole genome shotgun sequence.